CUGAACUGCUUGCUUGUUCUUUGUUCUGCAACAAGCUGCCCUUGCUGUCUGUAGGUAAAUGCCCAGCAAAGAGGACCUCUUUGGAGCCUCCAAGACAGAGAUGCAUGGCCAUGCUGGCCCAGUUUCACGUGUGUGAGGCAGAACAAUGUGAUGCUGUGCAGUUGCAGCACUGGGCUGCAGCUGGCCCUGAAGGCAAGGAUGGUUGGGGCUGUGCCCCUGCCCUCAGCCACACGCAGGAUAGCAGCACCCCAGCAGUACCCAGGGGAUGCCGCAGUGCCAGGGACUGGCAUUCAGCUCCUGCAGCCCUUCUGUAAAUGGGUGACGGUCCAUAUCUCUUCCAUCAGGGCAGCAAGACGAUUUCCCAGUAAUUCAAGUACAGAAAGAUAAAUUUUCAGCUAACUUGUUAACCUGAUUGGUGAGCACUAACUCCAGUGUCACAUUUCACCCCAAAAUAAUUGGGAAAUUAUGAUUUGCAUUCAUUCCAUCUUCACCUGCAGGUCAGAGGUCUGCUGCAUGUCCUACAGCAUUUGAACAGCUGUUUUGAGGUUCCCUGGAAAGUGCUGAGGGUAUUAACAUCAGCACAGGUGGUUGCAGAGGGGGCUGGUAUUCGCUGAUCGAAGCCCUGACUUCUAAUAAAGACCUCCGAGGGCUGCUCCAAGUCUUGUCUUGCCAGCAUCCAGCAUGUCAGAUAAAUGCAGACAUGCAAGAGGAAGAGAGAGGACAAGAAAAUGCUGCCAGAAGAGCCUGCAGCUUCGUGUGCAUCUUUACAGUGAUCAGUUGGCAUCAGGUGAGAACAUGUCAUGUUGUGGAAUUACAUCACGCAACUGCUCUUCAUGACAAACUGCCAGAUGUGUGUUACGGAGUUUGGAAGCAGUAGCCUGUAAGCAAAAUGGAUAUGAAAUGGAGAGAGUCAGGAGCAGCUCUGCCGGCGCUCGGGAUUGCACAGUGGAGCAGGGAACGGAGUCUUCCCCAUGCAGGUUCUCCUGCUUUUGGCUGUUCUGGGUUUUUGCUUUGGCACUUCUUCUCUUUAUGUGAGGCACACACACACCAACGAUUUCUUCCCCUCUUGCUGUACUGUGUGUGCUUAGAGUCCCGAAGCAAAUAUUUCCAUCCCUGCAUUCUUUAAUGACAGUGCAAUAAUCACUAAUAUAAACCAGAAAGGAGCCCUCGGCUUUGCUAUUCAAGGGAGUGCAUGGACCGGCAAGGUUAACAGCACUAUUUAUUUGCACUCUUUCUGGUAUUUCCCCAUUUCAUGUGAUUAUUUUCUAUUUACAAAUCUAGUCCUGGAGACCCACGGCAGAAAAGCCCGACCAGAUAAUGUAACACAACUGCCUACAACUUAUAUUUUCUGGUAACUAUUAAUAACUUACGUAGAAAGUUAUACUGUCUUAUAUACAAAGCCCUCUCUUUCUUCUUCCUACGUUCGGUCUUCAUUUUGCAUUCCUCCCGGUGAGGAGCAACAAGC